GCUGAGUUCUUUUACUAAGAUUGAUUCUAAAACUAACACUGUGGGAAGUAUUUAUCUAACCGACAGUAAAUAGCGACAGUAACUCUAACUAUCCUAAGGUAUCGAAAUUCCUUGUCGCAUAAGUAGCGACCUGCGCAAAU
rnacentral:ncRNA from 1 species